rnacentral:rRNA from 1 species
AUUGAACGCUGGCGGCAGGCCUAACACAUGCAAGUCGAGCGGCAGCGGGAAAGUAGCUUGCUACUUUUGCCGGCGAGCGGCGGACGGGUGAGUAAUGCCUGGGAAAUUGCCCAGUCGAGGGGGAUAACAGUUGGAAACGACUGCUAAUACCGCAUACGCCCUACGGGGGAAAGCAGGGGACCUUCGGGCCUUGCGCGAUUGGAUAUGCCCAGGUUGGAUUAGCUAGUUGGUGAGGUAAUGGCUCACCAAGGCGACGAUCCCUAGCUGGUCUGAGAGGAUGAUCAGCAAGACUGGAACUGAGACACGGUCCAGACUCCUACGGGAGGCAGCAGUGGGGGAUAUUGCACAAUGGGGGAAACCCUGAUGCAGCCAUGCCGCGUGUGUGAAGAAGGCCUUCGGGUUGUAAAGCACUUUCAGCGAGGAGGAAAAGUUGAUGCCUAAUACGUAUCAACUGUGACGUUACUCGCAGAAGAAGCACCGGCUAACUCCGUGCCAGCCGCCGCGGUAA